UUGUUUCCUGCACGGGUCUGUUUUGAUCAUCUCGCCUUGUAAAUAAAUUUACCUACAGGUGACCAGAAUGUCAUGUCUGCUUUGGUUCAUCUUACAGAUGUGUUGGCCCAGCUCUGUCACCAAAACAAGGUUAUUUCUGUAUAGGAUUAGUAUCAAAGGGAAACACAAGGAUGUUUUCACUGGCUCUGUUCUCAUCAAUUAAAAGCAUCACCACACAUAUCUGUUUGACACACUGGAUGAUGGCUUCUGGGGCCCCUGAGAUUGUC